UUCCGAGACAGGUGCUGCAUGGCUGUCGUCAGCUCGUGCCGUGAGGUGUUGGGUUAAGUCCCGCAACCGAGCGCAACCCCUAUUGCCAGUUGCUACCAGGUAAUGCUGGGCACUCUGGUGAGACUGCCCCGGUUAACGGGGAGGAAGGUGGGGACGACGUCAAGUCAUCAUGGCCCUUACGCCUAGGGCUACACACGUACUACAAUGGCGCAUACAAAGGGCAGCGAUACCGCGAGGUGGAGCCAAUCCCAAAAAGUGCGUCCCAGUCCGGAUUGCAGUCUGCAACUCGACUGCAUGAAGUUGGAAUCGCUAGUAAUUCGAGAUCAGCAUGCUCGGGUGAAUGCGUUCCCGGGCCUU
rnacentral:rRNA from 1 species